rnacentral:rRNA from 1 species
AUUGCACUCUGGCGGCAGGCUUAACACAUGCAAGUCGAGCGGUAGCACAAGAGAGCUUGCUCUCUGGGUGACGAGCGGCGGACGGGUGAGUAAUGUCUGGGAAACUGCCUGAUGGAGGGGGAUAACUACUGGAAACGGUAGCUAAUACCGCAUAACGUCGCAAGACCAAAGAGGGGGACCUUCGGGCCUCUUGCCAUCAGAUGUGCCCAGAUGGGAUUAGCUAGUAGGUGGGGUAAUGGCUCACCUAGGCGACGAUCCCUAGCUGGUCUGAGAGGAUGACCAGCCACACUGGAACUGAGACACGGUCCAGACUCCUACGGGAGGCAGCAGUGGGGAAUAUUGCACAAUGGGCGCAAGCCUGAUGCAGCCAUGCCGCGUGUGUGAAGAAGGCCUUCGGGUUGUAAAGCACUUUCAGCGAGGAGGAAGGUGGUGAACUUAAUACGUUCAUNCAUUGACGUUACUCGCAGAAGAAGCACCGGCUAACUCCGUGCCAGCAGCCGCGGUAAUACGGAGGGUGUAAGCGUUUAUCGGAAUUACUGGGGCGUAAGCGCACGCAGGCGGUUUGUUAGUCAGAUGUGAAAUCCCCGGGCUCAACCUGGGAACUGCAUUUGAAACUGGCAGGCUAGAGUCUCGUAGAGGGGGGUAGAAUUCCAGGUGUAGCGGUGAAAUGCGUAGAGAUCUGGAGGAAUACCGGUGGCGAAGGCGGCCCCCUGGACGAAGACUGACGCUCAGGUGCGAAAGCGUGGGGAGCAAACAGGAUUAGAUACCCUGGUAGUCCACGCUGUAAACGAUGUCGAUUUGGAGGUUGUGCCCUUGAGGCGUGGCUUCCGGAGCUAACGCGUUAAAUCGACCGCCUGGGGAGUACGGCCGCAAGGUUAAAACUCAAAUGAAUUGACGGGGGCCCGCACAAGCGGUGGAGCAUGUGGUUUAAUUCGAUGCAACGCGAAGAACCUUACCUACUCUUGACAUCCAGAGAACUUUCCAGAGAUGGAUUGGUGCCUUCGGGAACUCUGAGACAGGUGCUGCAUGGCUGUCGUCAGCUCGUGUUGUGAAAUGUUGGGUUAAGUCCCGCAACGAGCGCAACCCUUAUCCUUUGUUGCCAGCGGUUCGGCCGGGAACUCAAAGGAGACUGCCAGUGAUAAACUGGAGGAAGGUGGGGAUGACGUCAAGUCAUCAUGGCCCUUACGAGUAGGGCUACACACGUGCUACAAUGGCAUAUACAAAGAGAAGCGACCUCGCGAGAGCAAGCGGACCUCAUAAAGUAUGUCGUAGUCCGGAUUGGAGUCUGCAACUCGACUCCAUGAAGUCGGAAUCGCUAGUAAUCGUAGAUCAGAAUGCUACGGUGAAUACGUUCCCGGGCCU